AACUUUAAGCGCCACGUCCAACUAUGAAAAAUAAUUUAUUAACAGGACAAGGAUUGUUCUGACUUUAAAGAAUGCUUGAAUUGCUUCGCCUUGCUUUUCUGGUUGGCUGGCAAGUUACACCAUUACAUUUUUCAAGAUCUAAUAGUGCACGUUUCAGCAUGGCACGGGCCGUGGCGAUACGUUGGCACAUGAGAAUGAUUACAAUAUGGCAAAUAUUAGUAAAUUAUUGCAUUCUGUUCAUGCUGGCUUUCACAGGCUACCUGAGACAUGAAACCGAUAGGUGGGAGGGCAGACAGGCUACCUGAGACAUGAAACCGAUAGGUGGGAGGGCAGACAGGCUACCUGAGACAUGAAACCGAUAGGUGGGAGGGCACACAUUAAUUAAUGCGCAUUUUAUUUUAGGUGUGAUGUCAUUACGCAAAGCUAUUUUUAUUGAGACAAGAUAGUUAAUUGGAAACGCACCCUAGCAGGCAAUUGUCGAAUAAAUUUUCUAUGCAAACUUUCUAAAUGUUGACAACAACAAAAAUCGCUGGACAAGUUAAUAGAAACAUAAGCUAGGUUUCCAUCAAAUUGGCGACAGAUUUUAAUGUGAAUAUUGUAAUAUCUGGGAGGCCCCUAAAAAGUAAUACACUUUGAUAAUGUGGAUUGGAAGCUAUUAAAAAUUAUAAUUAUGGGCCUCCUGAGUGGUGCAGCGGUCUGCAUUACUACAGAUCCCGGUUUGAUUCCGAGUUGUGUUGCAGGAGGCCGCGACCGGGAGACCCAUGAGGUGACACACAAUUUGCCCAGUGUCUUCCAGGGUAGGGGAGGGUAUGUCCGGCCGGGAUGUCCUUGUCCCAUCGCUCUUUAGCGACUCCUGUGGCGGGCCGGGCGCAUACACACUGACACGGUCUCCAGGUGUACGGUGUUACGUUCCGACACAUUGGUGCGUCUGGCAUCCGGGUUAAGCGUGCAUUGUGUCAAGAAGCGGUGCAGCUUGGCGGGGUUGUGUUUCGGAGGACACACGGCUCUCGACCUUCACCUCCUCCGAGUCUGUAUGGGAUUUGCAGCGAUGGGACAAGACAGUUCCCUGUGUGUUAUGAUAAAGACACUAGUCUGUACUGCAGGUCCCUGUGUGAUAUGAUAAAGACACUAGUCUGUACUGCAGGUCUCUGUGUGUGAUGAUAAAGACUAGUCUGUACUGCAGGUCCCUGUGUGUUAUGAUAAAGACACUAGUCUGUACUGCAGGUCUCUGUGUGUUAUGAUAAAGACACUAGUCUGUACUGCAGGUCCCUGUGUGAUAUGAUAAAGACACUAGUCUGUACUGCAGG
ensembl:lncRNA